UACGUGGGGUCCGAGCGUUGUCCGGAAUUACUGGGCGUAAAGAGCUCGUAGGUGGUUUGUCGCGUUGUUCGUGAAAACUCACAGCUCAACUGUGGGCGUGCGGGCGAUACGGGCAGACUAGAGUACUGCAGGGGAGACUGGAAUUCCUGGUGUAGCGGUGGAAUGCGCAGAUAUCAGGAGGAACACCGGUGGCGAAGGCGGGUCUCUGGGCCGAUACUGACGCUGAGGAGCGAAAGCGUGGGGAGCGAACAGG
rnacentral:rRNA from 1 species